rnacentral:rRNA from 1 species
GUAACGCCUGCCCAGUGAGUCUUACUUAAACGGCCGCGACUAAACGUGCAAAGGUAGCGCAAUCACUUGUUCCGUAAAUAGGGACCUGUAUGAACGGCCACAUGAGAAAGAAACUGUCUCUUGAAGAUAGCCAGUGAAACUGAUCUGCUUGUUCAAAAGCAAGCAUAAUUUAGCUAGACAAAAAGACCCUGUGAAACUUAAAGCUAAGCAUUAAACAAACUAAUGCCAAACUUUUAGUUGGGGCAACUUAAGAUACACUAAACAUCUUAAACACUCUAAACCAACAAGUUAAAACUACUCAAACAAAAGACCCGGCACAGCCGAUCAACGAACCAAGCUACUCCAGGGAUAACAGCGCCAAAUUCUUUGAGAGUCCACAUCAACAAGAAUUCUUACGACCUCGAUGUUGGAUCAGGAUAUCCAAACAGCGCAGAAGCUGUUAACGGCUCGUUUGUUCAACGACUAA